GGGGGCGUACAGGUUUCGACGGGGGUUUGGAGUCAUUAGUAGCGAGUCGUGUUUUGCUUGGUGACACGUAAAAGAAUUGGGCAAAAAAUUAAACGCAAACGAUAAUUUCGUUUUAGCAGCUUAAUAGCUGCUCGUCUCUACUAGGUCUCCCGCAGCUUAGAUAGAGGCGCCAUCACAGCGGGGAACGUCUUAAGGUGUGCUUCGACCUUAAGUUGUAUAAUUGGAGCUGGUUGAACCUGAAACUUGUUACUGGGUGUCAGGUAAGACGAGAUUUAAAUCAGUAACUGCACUCGGAGAAGCUAAUGGUAAAGGGCUUUCGGACAGGGGUUCGAUUCCCCUCGCCUCCACCA
rnacentral:tmRNA from 1 species